rnacentral:rRNA from 1 species
CCUACGGGAGGCAGCAGUGGGGAAUAUUGCACAAUGGGCGCAAGCCUGAUGCAGCCAUGCCGCGUGUGUGAAGAAGGCUCUUCGGGUUGUAAAGCACUUUCAGCGAGGAGGAAGGCCAGUGACUUAAUAACUGGCUGGAUUGACGUUACUCGCAGAAGAAGCACCGGCUAACUCCGUGCCAGCAGCCGCGGUAAU